CCCCGGGCGUGCGCUCUCCCAAGCCGGGUGGCGGGAUAGCGGGAAAGGCUGGCGCGUGGCGGAGGCGUGAAGGGCCGCAGCCAGUCAAACCUUCCCUACAGGGCGGGAAGAGGCUGUGGGUGUCCCGGGAAUGGCGCCUUUGCGCGUGAUCGCAAGCCCCACGGGCUGACAAGAGGCUAAGGAGGAGGCUGCCAAGAGUCGGCUCUGAAUCAUUAGAAGGACGGAUCUGGUGCGUGUGCCAGACGUGUUGUGUGAGCUGAAGUGCUCUGAAAAGCCCAUCUUUAUGAAGAUUGUGCAUUGGCGGGAACAUUCUAACUGUGGACAGAUCGAAAAUUGAUCAAGAGCCAAAAUUAUUUUGGGCUAUUUCAGGCCCCCUUAAUAGCCAUUUACUUUGACUUUUGUACCUGACCUGUUACACCAUCAAGCUUAGUUUCACCAACCUUGAGAAUGUUAGGAGAUAAUAUCUGAAACCUGUAACUAACUUCUCCACUGUGCAGCUUUGCUGUAGUUCAUCUACCUGAUGCCUGCACAGAUAUAAUUGCUAGAUGGUGAUUUCUGACCUUUUUUGUUCUUUCAUUAAAAUUUCAAGUAAGCUUUUCCACAGUA